GCUGGAGGUGUGUAUUCUGCUAUCCAUAUUUCCACUCUAAUUGUAUCCGUUACUUUGUUUUCUUCCUAGCCUUUUAUUUCUUCUCAUUAUGCACUCUGUUAGUCAAAUGUUUCUUUGUCGAUAUGUCAUAGCAAUCUGGAACUCAAAGAUACUGUCUCAUUUGCUAGCUCGAGCCCUCGUGGUUUUUCAUUUAUUCAUGAAUUUCUUGCUCUUCAUUUGAUCUAUUCACAGAUAGAGAACCACAUGGCUGCAGUGGCAUGUGAUACGCCUUUCAAUUUCUUGAACCACAUGACAAUUUUAAAUUUAUCGAACUUUACCCUACCUAUGAGUAAUUUGUUUGAUAAGAAAAUUCAGCUAGAUGUUCAUCAAGUGGUUACUGUUUAUAUGAUCAGUUAAGUACUUGAGCUCAACUCUUUGAUAUCCUUUGAGAAGGAGUGAGAACACCAGAGAAAGGGCUUAAUGGCUUAUGUUACGUUCUCAUCAAAGUUUCCCAGCCAGGACAUGGCAAGGGCAUGAUCAGUCCAGUGUUGGGACCGCCGUAGCAGCUACAGCACCGCCACUGUUUUCAAAUGCAGCAUCAUCAGGAUUCUCACUCUCAGCUACACGCCCUCCUUCAUCAUCAGCCCUUCGUCAAUUUGAAUCAGCCCGGUCUCUAUGUUAUCCACCCAUCUGAUUACAUAUCUUAGCACCAACACAAUCUCAUGAACC